rnacentral:rRNA from 1 species
AUGAUCGAAUUAACUGCGGUUGCCACGGUGGCCGCCAAGAUCGCGCCUAAGCUCGCCGUCUUUUUUCCGAGAAGACGCAGGCUACUAGGGGAACUGGAGUAUGACAUCGAACACAUCCAAAGGGAGUGUUCGAUCAUUGCUGCCGCCAUAGCAGAUGAUGGCAAUCAUCCCCAUUCGAGCGACGCCGCGGAGGCGCAUCAGGAAUGGAUCAAGAUCGUGCGUGACUUGGCGUACGACAUUGAUGACUGCAUCGACCGCUUCAUACACCGCGUCUCGGCGGCGCCCGUCGCCGACGCCGGGUGGAUCCGUCGGAAAGCACACCGGCUGAAGACGGUGAGGGCCCGUCGCAAGUUUGCUGCGGCAAUCGUUCGUCUCAGGAAGCGGUCAGACGAGGCUUCCGAGAUGAGAAAGAAGUACACCGAUCUGGCGUACGGACACGGCCGUGCCGCCGCCGUUUUCGAGUCAGGAGCACCGGAGGCCGAGGCGGAGCCCGAGGCGUACACAGAUACCCCCGUCGGUAUGGAAGCGCCCGAGGAAGAGCUCAUGGAUCUGAUAAGGGAAAAGCCGCAAGGUGAACCUGACAGGCUCAAGGUGAUCUCCCUUGUCGGAUUCGGUGGUAUCGGCAAGUCUCAGCUUGCCAAGCGUGUGUACGGCACAAUUGACGAAAGCCAAUACCCAGCACGGGCUUGGGUCCGAGCUGCAGAGAAAGGCCCAGAAGAUCUUCUCCAAUCGAUAUUGCAGGAACUUGGAGCGCAUACCACCACCAUUAACUCAAGCUCCAGCAACAGUAAGCUCUGUGCAACCAUACAAAAGCGCCUUGGGACCCAGAGGUUCUUCAUUGUAAUUGAUGGCAUGCGGGAAGACUUUUGGGUCGAUAUAAAAGAUGCUUUCCCUGUGUUUCCUGGGGUCGACAGUAGAGUGCUCGUCACAACGGCCAGGCAGACCAUAGCAAUCAAGAGCAGCAGUCGUGAUGGUCAUGUGUAUGUAAUGAGAACUCUUGCCGACGACCACUCAAGACAAUUGUUCUAUGAGGAAGCUUCCUUGGUGUAUCCACCAACAAUUGGUGAUAAGAAGCUGAGUUCAGAAGUAAUAAAGAGAUGCGAUGGUCUGCCCCUUGCUCUUGUUACCACAGCACGGUUGUUGCACGGUGAAUCCAGACCAGAACAAUGGGCAGAUCUGGGAGGAAACCUUGGCGAACAUCUGGAGAACAAUAAGAAGUUAGCAAGUAUGCAUGGUGUGCUCGUCCGUAGCUACACCGGCCUAAGUAAGCAGCAUAUCAAGACAUGCUUGUUAUAUCUGGGUAUUUACCCAAGUGGCCGCCCAAUCAGGAGAGGAAGCCUGAUAAGGCGAUGGUCCGCUGAAGGUUUCAUCACAGCAGAGCACAAGCGCAGUGCCCGGGAGGUCGCUGUUGGUAAUUUCAACGAGCUGGUCGACUGGAGCAUCAUCCAGCCUAUUGAUGGCAGCGGCAGCAGCAGAGCAGAGGUGAAGGCAUGCCAAACUCAUGGCAUAAUGCUCGAGUUCCUCCUGCACAAGUCCAUGUGUGAGAAUUUUGUUACCUUGUUGUACGAUGAUGUUCCCCCACCCAGUAAAGUCCGUUGGCUCUCUCUGCAUAAUGGAAGUGCUGCAAGCUCCAGAAUUAAUCCAAAUGAUGUACCCUUUCUCCGUUCUCUGACAAUCUUCGGCAAGGUGCAUAAAUCUGUCUUGAAUUUUUCCAAAUAUAAAUUGAUGAGAGUUUUGGAUUUAGAAGAGUGUCAUCAACACUUGGAGGACAAGCAUCUCAAGGGGAUAUGUAGCAACCUGUUGCUACUCAGGUACCUAAGCCUCCGGGGCGCUUCUAAAAUUACAGUCAUUCCCAAAGAGGUCAAGAAGCUUCAACUUUUGGAGACACUGGAUGUAAGAGGAACGAAUAUAGAGAUUCUGCCCACGCCAGUCAUGCAGCUACCAUGUCUAAUUCAUCUGUUUGGAAAGUUCAAGCUCCCACAAGGUGUAGGAAGCCGGAAAAUGCGUAAGCUACAGGCUUGGUUGCAAGAGGAAGAGAACAGUAAACUGCAAACGGUAGCAGGAUUUGUUGUGGACGACAAGAGCCAGGGAUUUGCACAGCUGAUGGGUGAAAUGAAGAAACUGACGAAGGUGAAAAUAUGGUGUGAGUCGUCUACCACCGAUGCCAGCAGCUACUUAAGGCAUGUCUCAAAGGCCAUUAAGAAGUUCAGGAGAGGCACCGAUUCUUCUGACAACUUAAGUCAUCUCUCAGAGGCCAUCAAGGAGUUCAUCGACAGAGGCACCGACCAGAACAAAUCUCGUUCACUCUCACUGAACAUGAACGGUGCAUGGUGUCAGGACUUCCUAGAUUUCUCCCUGGAAAAUGACUCAUCCAGCUAUCUUAGCUCGCUCAAGCUACAAGGAAACAACAUAUCCAGCCUUCCUCCGUUUAUUAGCAUGCUAGGUGGUCUCACUAAGCUUUGUCUUUCAUUCUCUCAUCUUCAGCUGAGCAGCGGCAUUCUUGAAGCCCUGAACAACGUAUGCGGCCUGAAGUACCUCAAGCUGAAUGCAACUCGACUGGACGAUCUCGUUAUUCAAGAGGAUGCACUCGGAAGCCUGAAACGCCUAUGCAUCGUGGUGGAAGUCAUGAGUGGGCUGGUAAUCGAAGAGGGGGCUCUGCCAGACCUCGAGUCCCUUCAGCUUCUAUGCAAGGAUCUGAAUGGCUUUAGCAGCAUGAGGAUCCAGUCCUUGCCACGUCUUAAGGAGGUCGUCCUUCAUGAUGGAGUGAGCCAAGGAACAAAAGAGGAGUGGAAAGGAGCAACAAAGAACCACUCCAGACGUCCCAAGCUCUUGUUUGUCACGAAACAAAUGGUUGAUGAUCAUUUCAAACCGAUGGGAAUUGAGGCUGCUCCGGAAAUUAGCCCUGCGGCGACAGCUACUGACACGAUGGUUGUGGAAAGCGAGCCUGCAGAGAAUUCUAAGAGCCCUGUGGUACCACCUACCGAUACCACGUUAUUGGUGACAACGCAGCCCGACGCUAUUUCUACUCGAGAGUCUGUACAAGUCGUUACUACUUCUGAGACGGUUGAUGCUCGGGACCUGAUAGGAACUGAGUCUGCUGCGGAAAAUAGUACAGUGGCAACAACUACUAAUACGACCAAAAAGAUUGAUGUGGAAAGUGAGCCUGUGGGAAAUUCUGAGAGCCCAGCAGCACCGCCUACUGAUACGAUGUUAUCAAUGACAACGCCGCCCAAUGUCAUUUCUACUCGGGGGAGUGUACAACUUAAUGGUGGUUGCCAACAUGAUGAUGAUGGGAAGGAUCUGGAUGAGAUUGAGGACUCCGAAGACUUUGCUACGAAAAAUGGUCUGACAACUCAUGUGAUAGAUCAGAUGAGCAAGGAAAGUUAUAAAGUGGAGAUGGAAGGACCAUGUUUAGAGGGUCUGCAUAGGGAAGAUGGCACCCAGAAACGAGGACUACAAAACAAACAGCGUCUGCGCGUGAGGUUGUCAUCUCUGGUGGCAGUUGGGAUCUUUCGUCAAGGAAAUCGACGGGGGCGAUUGGUGCAUCGUCUGGGUUAA